UACGGAGGGUGCAAGCGUUAUCCGGAUUCACUGGGUUUAAAGGGUGCGUAGGCGGGCAGGUAAGUCCGUGGUGAAAUCUCUGAGCUUAACUCAGAAACUGCCAUGGAUACUAUUUGUCUUGAAUAUUGUGGAGGUAAGCGGAAUAUCGUCAUGUAGCGGUGAAAUGCUUAGAUAUGACAUAGAACACCAAUUGCGAAGGCAGCUUACUACACAGUUAUUGACGCUGAGGCACGAAAGCGUGGGGAUCAAACAGG
rnacentral:rRNA from 1 species